ACGUAGGUGGCAAGCGUUGUCCGGAAUUAUUGGGCGUAAAGCGCGCGCAGGCGGUUUGCUAAGUCCAUCUUAAAAGUGCGGGGCUUAACCCCGUGAUGGGAUGGAAACUGGCAGACUGGAGUAUCGGAGAGGAAAGCGGAAUUCCUAGUGUAGCGGUGAAAUGCGUAGAGAUUAGGAAGAACACCGGUGGCGAAGGCGGCUUUCUGGACGACAACUGACGCUGAGGCGCGAAAGCGUGGGGAGCAAACAG
rnacentral:rRNA from 1 species